ACCCGCACAAGCGGUGGAUGAUGUGGAUUAAUUCGAUGCAACGCGAAGAACCUUACCUACCCUUGACAUGUCCGGAACUUGCCAGAGAUGGCUUGGUGCCGAAAGGGAAUCGGAACGCAGGUGCUGCAUGGCUGUCGUCAGCUCGUGUCGUGAGAUGUUGGGUUAAGUCCCGCAACGAGCGCAACCCUUAUCAUUAGUUGCUACGCAAGGGCACUCUAAUGAGACUGCCGGUGACAAACCGGAGGAAGGUGGGGAUGACGUCAAGUCCUCAUGGCCCUUAUGGGUAGGGCUUCACACGUCAUACAAUGGUCGGUACAGAGGGUUGCCAAGCCGCGAGGCGGAGCCAAUCCCACAAAGCCGAUCGUAGUCCGGAUUGUUCUCUGCAACUCGAGAGCAUGAAGUCGGAAUCGCUAGUAAUCGCAGGUCAGCAUACUGCGGUGAAUACGUUCCCGGGUCUU
rnacentral:rRNA from 1 species